rnacentral:rRNA from 1 species
AGAACGAACGCUGGCGGCAUGCCUAAUACAUGCAAGUCGAACGAACACUUCGGUGUUAGUGGCGCACGGGUGCGUAACGCGUGGGAAUCUGCCCUUGGGUUCGGAAUAACAGUUGGAAACGACUGCCAAUACCGGAUGAUAUCGAAAGAUCAAAGAUUUAUCGCCCAGGGAUGAGCCCGCGUAGGAUUAGCUAGUUGGUGAGGUAAAGGCUCACCAAGGCGACGAUCCUUAGCUGGUCUGAGAGGAUGAUCAGCCACACUGGGACUGAGACACGGCCCAGACUCCUACGGGAGGCAGCAGUAGGGAAUAUUGGACAAUGGGCGCAAGCCUGAUCCAGCAAUGCCGCGUGAGUGAUGAAGGCCUUAGGGUUGUAAAGCUCUUUUACCCGAGAUGAUAAUGACAGUAUCGGAGAAUAAGCCCCGGCUAACUCCGCGCCAGCAGCCGCGGU